UCCAGACCCAGAGGGAGGCAGGGCCCUCCUGGAAUGGCUGAUUUAUUUCUGACUCCCAGCUCUGGUAAUGGCUGGCUGGGGAUUUGGGGCUGCUCCCAAGGAAGAAACCAAUUCAAGAGAAAUCACUCAUCCAGACACAGCCUUAUCAGUGUGUGGGGUGUUGCAUGGCUGAGGAUGAGACAUCAGCACUGACAAAAACAGGCAAAGUAGACCUGAAAAAGCAAGAAGGGGUGAAUGCCGGCUGCAAAGCUGCUUCCCCCCAUGCUCCUGUAGGGCUGCGGCUCUGCCUCAUAACUGCCCCCAGUCCUGUAAGUGGGAUGAUGCACCUAAUUGAGGCCUGAAUGUUUUCUUUCUGGAGACAAAAAACACCCCCACAGCUUUCCGUGAAUGUUAUGUCCUUCUUCCCUUCCAUUCACUCAAUGGAGAAAUCUGUGUCUGAGACCACAGUCAUGGUCCUACCAGCAGCACUGGGGCUCUUGUAAAAGCUGAUGCCAGUGGAGAGCAGAGGAGCACUGGAGCAUCUGAGCAACAUCUCAUUAAUUAGCAACACUGGCACAGCUAAUUAAUGGAGUGAAAUGAGUGUUUGGAGAUGGUAUAAUGGAGGGGUGAGUCAGGCACAGCCCUACACAUCGCUGAUCCCAUGGUUCCUCCCUCCGCUGCACUCAGCCCAUAUCUCAGCUCCUCUCCUGGGAGCUGGAAAACCUCCCCUGGCUGCUGCAGGGGAGGACACGUGAGCAGCACCACAGCUUGCGGCCAUCAGGCUGAUGCCAAGAGCUCAGGGCAUCUGCUCCAUCUCUGGUCCAUGCCUUGAUCAUAGAACUGUUUGAGUUGGAAGGGACCUUUAGAGGUCAUCUAGCCCAAAUCCCCUGAAACGAGCAGGGACACCUACACCAGAUCAGGUGCUCAGAGCCCCAUUCAGUCUGACCUUGGGUGUCUCCAGGAACAGGUCACCCACUGAUAACGACGCUGAUUAUCGUCACACCCUUUGUGAUAAGGAUUUCUCACCCAGAGACCCCCAAAUCAAUGUCACAAACAGCCUCAUGGAUGGGAAACAAAGCUCUGGUUAGUUCUCACCUGGGGCUGAAGAAAUGACCUGGAGGUGUAGGAUUAUCACAGCAGCCCUCUGACCUGGUGAUCCUUCCAUGGGCUGGAAGUUCAAGAGAGGAGAAGGGUCACGCCUGUUACACUGAUCAUUUUUCACUCUUUAAAUGGGAAUGCGUAGCACAGGCUGUCAGUUAACAAAAGAAACAAACACCAAAGCCCUGCAUCGUGCAGCGUUGCCGAAGUUUACAGUUCCAUAGGGCAGCUUACAGCAUUACGGGCUUUGCCUGUAAGACUGCUAUAAACACAGAUCUCUGCAUCUCCCAGCACCGCUGGUGAAGAAGCAGAUGGGCUAAAGCUCGACCUCAGCAAGGCAGGACUUCACCUUUAAACAACUUGCCUUCCUGGUGUCAUAUGGAAUAAGCCCUGCCUGCUGCUCACUAACAGCAUGGGAUUUUAUUUGACUGGGAUCGUGUUUUAUAACAGCCCUGCUCAGUUUGCAUGUUUGCAGCAAGUAAUCACUCCGGGGCUAAUAGCAAAUUCACUCCCAGGUGCUUAAUGAUGGUAUUUACUGGUGACUGCAGAAAGUAGCUGUUUUAGGUCUGCAGUGAUGAUGUGGUGAUUAGGGUGAGUUAAUUGGACACAGGACAACUGGGUAAUUGCUAGCGAUGAGGCAGUGAACUCCCAAGUAAUUGCACCUUCCCCAGAGGUGUGCUGCCAUUAGCAGUGUUACAAAGGCAGAGCUGGGAGGUGAUGACAGGGGAGUCAUUGUCUCUACAUGGCACUGCUGAAUCAGGGCCAGGAAAUCACCCCUUCUCCUUACGAAGAAAAAUAACGCUUAAUGUGUUUGUUUUCCUCUUGCUUUCUUAGAGGAGAGGUGCACUUGUGGUAAGAGCUGCGCGUCUGUCAGCCUGUGCCUUCUCUUCAUAGCCUUCUUUUCCUUCUUUUCAAACUCCUAAAAAAAAUAAGAAGAUAUAUUAAGCUCCAGGCACCUACAAGCAAACCGAGGAGAGUUCCUGAGGGGAGGAAGGGGAAGCAGAGGCUGACUUUGUACCCUCCAGACAGCACAACCCACACUCUGCUGGACACCAGUGGGGCCCAGGGGAGGUGCUGUGACAGAGCUCACCCCCAGGAACACUCAAUAGAAGCUUCUACUUUCUUCAUGGGCACCAGCAGCGCCACUCCUGCUUCCUACAAGAGCAGACAUCAUUAACAAGGUAAUUAAAAGCAGGCAUUCAUUUUCCUUUUAAUGAAUGUGGGAUCUGAGGGAGUUUGUGUGGUCAUUUAUUGGAGCCCCGGUGGCCCUUCGGCAAGAUUUCCCAGAUGCCAGCCAUCUCCACACGUGUUUGGGCUCUGUGGAACAUUGCUCAUUCAAUGGACAUGGAGUUGGAAGGCCUCACCCAGCCCUGGUCCUCCUUGCUGGGGCUGGGAAUGCCCUGCUUAAGUGGCUCAUUAUCUAUCUGCUAGGGCCUGUUCAUUUGGCUUCAUUAGUAAGAGACAAAGACGUGCAGUGUGUCCUUCUCUCCUUUUUAAUGAGCUCUCCUCUCCCUGUUAAGUGAGAGAGAAAAACUGCAGCAAAAAAUAGCACAGCAGUCUUUAGCACAAGGUUGUCCUGGCGAUGGGGAGAACUUGUGGCCCAACGAUGAGAUGGGCCCUUUGGCAAGCUGGGAGUGCCAGCUGUAAAGUUAAAGGAAUCUUAUGCAACUGGAUCAGAUACUCCUGAGUUUAAAUCAAUACAAACAGAAGUGCUGGCACAGGUUGAUAUGGCUCCAUUGACGUUUCCAGAGCUGCUCUGCCAUAGUGGUAAUAGGUGGGAUGAGCAGUUUAAGCUGUUCUCACGCCCAGCCUGAUCCAUGUGCUCAUCCCCACACCCUUCCUAUGUGGCACAGGAUGGCUCCCAGAUCAUGGAUGGACACCUUCCUCUCUUCUAUAUGUUGCUGUUAAGAUGAGUGGGUGCUACUUGUCUUUCUACAUUAAUAGUGUAUGUAUUUGCACGCCAAUUCUUUGGGCUGGUUAACUAGUGCCAAGCUGCAGCAAGGCUCUCAAAGCAACAGGAUAAAGCUCCACAGUGCUGUUUUCAAGCCUUGGAGGCAGCAAGGUGCAGGUGAAGACCUGAGCACAGGACUGAAAGGCUGAAUGCCCAAAACUGUUUAGCUUCUCUUCAUCCCUUUCCAUUCUCUUUACAGUACAGGGAUAUAAUAGCUUUGUCAUGUGAGGGCAUGGGAGAAGCUUGCAAAACACCUGCUGAAGUGCUUUGAAGAUGAAAAGCCAUACGUGCAAAUGAUAAGUUGUAUGGGCAAUCUAAACAGACUUGGCUAUAAAUCUCUUGUGUUAAAUGAGGGACGAGGUGGUGGGUGGCACCCACCCCUAAUUACAAGGCUCAUCACCUGCUCCUGUCCCAGCAUACCAUCCUCCUGGCUGGAGAAUGGCUGACACUGACACCUGGGCAGAGGACAAACUUGUUGUGCAAGUCAGCUGGAGAGUCAGGAAAUAUCCCUUGGGAGGAAGUGGGUGCCCGCAGUGGGUCAGAGGUGAUCCCCUCGGUGCCACAUACUUUGUCCCCAAGCCUGGGUGAUGCAGCACAAGGCUGAGGCCAUGGGAGAGAUUUGCAAAGGGAGAAGCCAGUAGGUAGCUCCUCUUUACAUGCACCUCCAUUUUGACCCAGUUGUUCUCGACAAUCACUGACAGAGCUUUCUGUGCCUCCUGUCCCCAAGCUCCCAUCCCAGCUCUGAACACCCACCAGUGCUGCCACCUCUCCUCCCGAUUCUUGUGCAUUGAGUUUCUCCAUGAGCCUGGGGGUCCCAUGCAGCAGAAUCAUAGAAUGAUUUAGGUUGGAAGGAACCUUAUAGCCCACCCAGUUCCAUGGGCAGAGCUGCCACCCAGCAGCUCAGGCUACCCAGGGCCCCAUCCAGGCUGGCCUCGAGCACCUCCAGGAGUGGGGCACCCACAGCUCUCUGGGCAGCUCUACCAGCGCCUCACCAGUCUCUGAGCAAAGGAUUUUCUCCUAACGUCCAACCAAGUUGGGAGGAAGUGUUGAUGUGUUUGAGGGUAGAAUCCGGACAGGCUGCACUGAUGCUCUCUGAUACCUGAUUUUGGGGGUAGAAGCUCUGGCAUGUGCUACCCUGGUGGUCUCACACCCGAUCGUCAGCCAGGAUGGACCUCUAAAAGCCAUAAGCAGAGGGAGAGACCGAACCAUACCCUUCAAAAGAAGCACAGCCCCAAGGCGUAGUGCGAGAUUUAAGAAGUAAACAGCAGGUGCUCUGCUUUUGCAGUGUUUCUGGGUCACACUUCUCAUGCGCCUUCACAGCAGUGGGAGGUAAAACCUGCCGGUGCGUGUACGUGCCAGGAGAAGCGAGAUGCUCACAGAGCUGUGUCUGUGGGGCGAUUGGGCCCUCCUGGGAGCAGCCCUGCUGGGUGCCUUCAGCCCCUUGCUCAGUGCUCGUGGCUCUCUGUUCCCUGCUGCUCCGUGCGUUUUGCAUGCACUUGCGACCUUGUCCUAAAUAUAAGCUCUUGCGUGCACAGCACACUCUGAAAAGAACCUGGAGUAGGUUUGCUUGGCCUGGCACCUGUUCUGGCACAGGCAAGACUUUUUUCUACGGAAAACUUUAUUUUUCCAACCGAGACUUGAAAUACAUUUCCAAGCAUCCAAUACCUUUUUUUUUUUUUCCCCUAAAAAUCUUCCUUUUCCCUUGCAGCCAGGACGCAGCCUCUUGAAAACCAGGCCUCUUCAAGUUGUCUGGGGCUGCUUUGAAUCACUAAUUGCUUCUGAAUACAUAGGCCAAGCAUUUUAUCACUUAAAACUCCCGUAGCAAUGCAAAUGUAUACAGCCGAGAAGCCUCUUUCCAUGCAUGGUGGGGAUUGGUAUAGAUAAGGAUUAAAAUGGAAACAAAUUCAGCCCUGGGGGUCCUCUUUGUUCCUCCCUGCACUCGGUGGGGUUGCCAGGGCUACGUUUGUUCCCUCAUCUUUUUGGAGGGGCUCCAGAGCCCCUUGAAUGCAAAGGAAAGACCCAGAGUGGCUGCAGAGGGCUGGAUUAGGCCCUUAGGUACGGGCGUAUUUCAUCACCCGUGGUGUUGGCUGACAGUCCCUCAUUGAGGACAGCACGCUCCCAGCUUCAUCCUGGCUGAAGUUUGGGUUAUUUUCAGCUUUCUCUGAAUACCAGCCAUAUUUCCCAGGCGUCUGCCUGCCCGUAGGAUAAGGGGAGGUGUGCAGGAGCCAUCGGGGAGCUGUUUGGAGGUGCCAAUGUCAAGGGGAGAUGCUGUCACAGCAUGUCCUGCUCACAUCCUUGAAUGUGUUUUGGGGCUCGUGAGAUUAUGGGCACCUUGCAAAGCCCCAUCUGCACUCGCUUGCCACUUCUUUAGAUAACCCCCAGCCUGAAGGUGAAUCGGGGUGGAAAAUCGAGGUGAGCAUGGGCAGCCAAAAGCCUCCUUUUCUCUUAGGUUGCCCUUUGUUAGGUCUGCCUGCCGGACAGCCGCGUGCCGGGGGUGGCUGUGCUCAAACACUGCCAAGAGCUCAGUACUAGGGAAGUGAAAGCCAAUUUACUCACUUUCCAAUAGAGAGGAAGAUACAUGCUGAAUGUGCAUCUGUUGGAUGGUAUUUCUAUUUCAGGAACGCUGUUAACAUAACGAAAUGGAAAAGUGACUUUGUUUGCUUGAUUUAUGUAGUUCCUAGAAAACCUUGGGUUAAGAAGACAGGGGUGCUCUGUAGGCAUCAGGUGCCGUUUAUUCUCAGCAUAGUAGGUGAUAAAAUCUGUUAUAUCUCUGGCUUUCCACGUGCAUUCCUGUUGACUGAGACACAUUACCUGACCUACUCGAGUACUGUGGACAUGGAGAGCCAAUAAAGUAUCCUGACAAAUAUCUUCACGUAAAAUCAAUAGCAAAUAGAAAUCAGUCCUGUGAGGGUGAUAGCCAUUUAUCUUUAAAAUUAAAGGAAAAACCACAAAUCAUUGUCAGUGAAUGAGGAAAAAGUAUCCGUGCUCCUCUCUAACUACUUAUGUAUUAGGAUUUCCAUAUUUCAGUUGCAUAUGAGGCACUUAUAGGACUUAAAGUAGCUGAGGGUAGUUAUUAUCUUCAUUGCACUUACACAAGAGACAGCUCUUCCAGUAUAAACAGGCCACUGGCCAAAGGAAGUGAAUGGAAACUCUUCUUCCCACGUCGCAGAUGGGAGAGUUAAAAACUCACUGCCCAGGACUGAAUUAGAAGAUGAGUCCAAACUCGUGUGUGAUUGUCCUGUUGAACUGAAGUCUGCACGCAUGCAGUGUUGCAUCAGUGUGGCGUGGUGGUGAUGGGUCAAUGAUUGGACUUGAUGAUCUCAGAGGUCUUUUCCAACCUUAACGAUUCUGUGCUUCUACCUCCAGCACUGCAAGGACAUGGGGGGGCAGUGGAUGUGGGUCUGGCUGUGGCUAUUUACAGGGAUUUAUGUCAAUGCACGCUGACAGGUGGCCACUGAGGUGCAGCAAAUGGGCUGGGAAAAAAAGCAGGAAAAGGUGGCCCAAAGGGUGGAAGUCGUGCUCCUCCCCAGCUGCUCCUGCAGGCUUGGGUGCCCUCUCUGUGCAAACAGAGGCAGGGAAGCCAGAACAGGAAAAACCUGCUGGUGUAAGGCCGGGUUCACAUUACCCAAGCUGUUCUAAAUCAGGUCACAUUUGGUUUGGUUUCAAAGCAGCUGAGCUGGGGAAGGCAGAGAUGGCCAAACAUCUUAAAGACAGCUUUCAGGCCAAGUCUGACCUGGGCAGAAAGCAUGGGAAAGCAAGCAUAGGUUCGAGUUCCUGCAUGCCUGUAGCUGCUUCCCUGCACCUUAACCUAUUUCCAGUGCAAGGUCUGGCUGGUGAUUUCAGCCUUUCUGAGCAAACACUUUUUGUUUCACGUUUGCCAGGGGCACGCACACAAGCAUUUAUCCCAGCCCAGCUGUGAGGUGAGACUCACAAAGGGCAGGAUCACCUCUGUGCACUCACACUACCUUACCCAAAACAGGCAUUCGAGCAGCUGGCGGAGCCAGUUUGUGGUGUGUUUGCUCUGGACAGGGGUCUGCUCCUGGAGAUAGCUCAGUGCAAAGGAAUGGCCUCCUGCCUGCCCUAGCUGCUGCAGAGGGGAGCUCCGGGCAGCUGUGCAGGUUGGAGCUGCCCCUCUGCAGCAGCUGCUGGCCUGCUGCGUGCAGCACGCUUCUCCUCCUCACCAGAAGCUGGGCCAGAUGGCUCAUCCUCAUCUGAUUUAUUUAUGGGGUUAUUAUAGCCCUUCUGAAGGCUGUGCUCAGCCUUCCACUGAUCGAGGUCCUGCAUCGCAGAGAGGCUGCAUGGUUGCUGCAGCGAUGCUGUGCAGGCACUGCUCUUGGGAAGAAGGAGGAAAAAGAAGCUAACAGAGCUUGAGAUCAGGUUGUCCAGGACUGAUGGCUGUAUCUGCUUAUGAUGCAGUAAUAACAAUAAUUUACCUUUUAAUCACAAUAAUUCAUCACAACUCCUUGCAGCUGCCUCAUGAAUCCUUGCUGCCUAUCUCGCCCUUCUCAUUCAGAGAUCUGAAAGCACUUCAUAAACAUUAAUUAAUAAUUCCUCCACACCCCUGCAAGCAAAGUAAACAUUAUCCCCACUUUGCAGCUAGGGAAGCUGAGCUCACAUAAGGAGAUAAUGACCGAGCAGGGACACAGGGAGCACAGCGGGCCAGGCCCUCCUCCUUGAACACAUUCAAACUGUGAGUGCUUUUCCAGCAGCAGGAAAGGAGCAGGGAGGGUGAGGGCUCACCCUGUGCUGGAGAUGUCUGCCCUGCGGUGACCACUGCUACCUCUCGGCCUCCAUCACUGGGGCAAGCACCUGGCGGCCUGAAGCACCUGUCAUUGUUCACAGUGGGACUCUCCCUUUUUUAAUGACUAUGUUAAUGACCCUAAUCUGCUAGCGUGGAUGUGGUUAAUCCCACAGGCAGGAGAAGUUCACGGACUGUUCCUGUUCUGCCUCCUCGUGUGUCACUUUGCAUCCUAACCCAACCGCCCCCUGCCCAGCACUGUGACCAUCGGGUUGCACUGUGCAAAGGACAGGCAGCAGGCUCCAGGCCUUUUGGCACAGCAGUACCCAAGAUAGGGCAGUAACAAGCCAGGCCAGGGCCCACCAGCCCUUGGGGGAGUGACACAGGAGCUGCCAUCCUGAAACAAGACACACACUUGGGGUGAAGCCUCUGCUGUGUGUGUGGGGCCCCAGAGCAGCCUAGCGGGAGUUUUUUUCCAGGAGCAGACUGUUGACUUUUGGAAGCCAAAGGGAUCCCAGCAUCAGAGCAGGAGGAGGGUUGCGUUUCAUAGACAAGUCACGGUGCAUUAAAUGUAAAUGGAUCUGCGGCUUGAUGGACAAAUCAGAUCAGCGCUGGGAAACCCAGCUCACGGCGGGGGAUGGAUUUGUAACGGGUAACGGUGUACCAGUGCACCAAUGGGAAUGAAUGGCCAGAGAGGGAGGCAGGCAGGGCUGUGCUGCCUGCAGCACUGCAAGAAAGAGACAUCGCGGGCUCUGAGAAGGGAGGUCAGGCUGGAUAAACAGUGGCCCUGUCCCCAUCAGAGAAUCACUGAGGCAUGAAGAAAAACUUUAACAGCUGCAGUGCUGCUUUUGAACCUCGUAGUAAAAGGGGGGUCAGGAGGUCAAAACUUUCAAUGCCUCUGGGAAGGAGGGAGCGUUUCCCCGCAAGGCUUUGAAAGCCCCUCACUAAAUUAGCAUGACCACACUGCUAAAUGCUUGGGAAACCCGGACUGCUCGGGUCGCAGGCUCCCCCAGAAGCGGGGAGGCAAAGAGCUGCUGCAUUCCCAUGCUCAACGACAUAAUUAAUGGGGCUAUUUCCUAAACGAAGGCAGAUAUUGAGAAUCCUAUCCAGCACCUGGGCGGGAAAUAAAAGCCCACUGGAUGUGCUCUGUGCAUCCUUUCUCCCCCGCCUUACCUCCUGACACCACUGCCCUUAUCUCCUUUCUGUUUCUACCUCCUGUUUUCUGUCUCUUUCCUUCUUACUCACCGUCUUCUUGGCCUUCUCCUCUGCUGUUCCCAGCGUCAUGCAGCUCAGCUCACUGUUGCAGCGAGGAGCUCUGACAUGUGGGGACAGGAGUAAGAGAUGCUGACACAAGCCAGAGCACUGCUCACCCUCAGCCGUGCACAGGGGCCGUACCCCUCAGCUGGAUGGGAAAUGAGGAGCUGCAGCCUACCAGCCUCGCUUCUUUCUACUUUCAUUGCUUCUUCUGUGAGAGCGCCGAUCCACAUUCUCAGCUAUUUGCCUCCACUUUGAAUGUAGCUUUUACUAGUGGAUUUUCCAAGAGCUAGACAGCAGGCAAUGCAUGUUUCUGCUGGAUGGUGCUAGGAGGGACCCUGAGAUUUCUGGCUGUUAUCCCACCGCCCGCUCUUUCCCAGCAGUGCCUCUGCACUCAGCUCCCAUUCACCUGCGCCGUGGGUUUCCUGGGCAUGGCUUUUUGUGAGAACCUUUGCACAUCAUCCCCUUCACCACUCCCACUGCUGCAGGUGCAGAAAGCAGAUAGGCACACACAGACACAGCAGCUGCUGUUAUUGCUUUUGGAAAAGCGCUGUAUGUCUGCAAGGUACAAUCCAAAUAUGUUAGAAAACCAGUGUAGCCCUGAAGCCGUAAGCGCUGCUGUCUGGAGCUGCAAUACUGCAGGCUGCUGUUGAGCAUCCCUUUUCCUAUUGCAGUGGCAGAAGACAAGGGCUCAGCAGAUUUCCAGGAUGGCUGCAAAAGCAGAAUGAGUACUUCAAUGGAUGAAGCAGGCUGGGAGAUGUAUCACGUUGCAGAAGGCUCGUUCUUAAAGGAGAAAGGCCAGCCUUCUGCAGGGAGCCAGGAGCCAUCCUGGCAGUCCUGACCCGAGCCAAGCAGGGCUGAGUUGCUACUUGGGAAGAAAGCCCAGAGAAGAAGAGGUGAGCACAAACCCAACAUUGUUAUUGCUGGCUGCAUCUCUGCCGAUGGCCCUGGUGCCACCAGCUUCAGGAAUAGACCAGCACGGAGUUACUGUCAGGAGUUCCAGGGUCUCUCUGGUCCACGAGGAGCUGGAAGAGCUGAGCAGCAUGGAACUGAUGGAUGCCUUUAUCUAUGCCCUUUGGAUGCCUCGAGGGGCAGAGAGCAAUCACGGACGGGGGAUUGCGGUGUCAUUUCAAAUUGGAAGAGCAGUAUGAGAGGUCUGUUUGGUUUUCCCAGCCAUAGCUUUAGCUUUCCGGAGAUUUUCAAUCUCUUUACAAGGUGCUGAAGGUAAAAAGAUUGCAAACUGCAAAUCUUUUUAUUACAAGACAGGGAAAGGCAACCGUCCUAACUGAUGGCAAAGGAACCUCUGCUCAGCCUGUGUCUGAUAAGGAUCUGGGAAGAGUAUCCAAGCUAAUAAAUAAGAUAUGUAUCUCCCGA